rnacentral:rRNA from 1 species
UACGUAGGGUGCGAGCGUUAAUCGGAAUUACUGGGCGUAAAGCGUGCGCAGGCGGUUUUGUAAGUCUGUCGUGAAAGCCCCCGGGCUCAACCUGGGAAUGGCGAUGGAGACUGCAAGGCUUGAAUCUGGCAGAGGGGGGUAGAAUUCCACGUGUAGCAGGUGAAAUGCGUAGAGAUGAUGGAGGAACACCGAUGGCGAAGGCAGCCCCCUGGGUCAAGAUUGACGCUCGAUGCACGAAAGCGUGGGGAGCAAACAG